CCUACGGGAGGCAGCAGUGAGGAAUAUUGGUCAAUGGACGAGAGUCUGAACCAGCCAAGUCGCGUGAAGGAUGACGGCCCUAUGGGUUGUAAACUUCUUUUGUAUGGGAAUAAAACAGUGUAUGCAUACCCUCUUGGAUGUACCCUAUGAAAAAGGCUCGGCUAACUCCGUGACAGCAGCCCCGGUAAUACGGAGGAUCGGAGCGUUAACCGGAUUUUUUGGGUUUAAAGGGAUCGUAGGUGGGUAGUUAAGUCAGUUGUGAAAGUUUGCGGCUCAACCGUCGAAUGGCAGUUGAAACUGGCAGUCUUGAGUACAGUAGAGGUAGGCGGAAUUCGUGGUGUAGCGGUGAAAUGCUUAGAUAUCACGAAGAACUCCGAUUGCGAAGGCAGCUUACUGGACUGCAACUGACACUGAUGCUCGAAAGUGUGGGUAUCAAACAGGAUUAGAUACGCCUGUAGUC
rnacentral:rRNA from 1 species